rnacentral:rRNA from 1 species
GACGAACGCUGGCGGCGUGCUUAACACAUGCAUGUCGAACGAUGAAGCUAGAGCUUGCUCUGGUGAAUUAGUGGCGAACGGGUGAGUAACACGCGAGUAACCUGCCCCGAACUCUGGGAUAACUGCUGGAAACGGUAGCUAAUACUGGAUACGACCUACGAAGGCAUCUUCUGUAGGUGGAAAGAAUUUCGGUUCGGGAUGGACUCGCGGCCUAUCAGCUUGUUGGUGAGGUAAUGGCUCACCAAGGCGACGACGGGUAGCCGGCCUGAGAGGGUGACCGGCCACACUGGGACUGAGACACGGCCCAGACUCCUACGGGAGGCAGCAGUGGGGAAUCAUAGACAAUGGGGGAAACCCUGAUCUAGCCAUGCCGCGUGAUCGAUGAAGGCCUUAGGGUUGUAAAGAUCUUUUGUCCGGGAAGAUAAUGACUGUACCGGAAGAAUAAGCCCCGGCAAACUUCGUGCCAGCAGCCGCAGUAA